AACAAACGCUGGCGGCGUGCCUAAUACAUGCAAGUCGAACGGGGAAAGCUUUCGGGUGAGUACUAGUGGCGCACGGGUGAGGCACGCGUGGAUAAUCUGCCUUAGAGUGGGGGAUAACUAGUCGAAAGAUUAGCUAAUACCGCAUAAGACCACAGGAGCUGCGGCUCAAGGGGUCAAAGGUUUUUCGCUCUAAGAUGAGUCCGCGUAAGAUUAGCUAGUUGGUGAGGUAACGGCUCACUAAGGCGACGAUCUUUAACUGGUCUGAGAGGAGGAGCAGUGACACUGGAACUGAGACACGGUCCAGACUCCUACGGGAGGCAGGAGUAGGGAAUAUUGCACAAUGGAGGAAACUCUGAUGCAGCGACGCCGCGUGAGUGAUGAAGGCCUUCGGGUCGUAAAGCUCUGUCGCAGGGGAAUAACACAAUGAAUGUACCCUGUAAGAAAGGAUCGGCUAACUUCGUGCCAGCCGCCGCCGUAAAAC
rnacentral:rRNA from 1 species